rnacentral:rRNA from 1 species
AGCUUGCUUGGGUGGAUCAGUGGCGAACGGGUGAGUAACACGUGAGCAACCUGCCCCGGACUCUGGAAUAAGCGCUGGAAACGGCGUCUAAUACUGGAUAUGACACCAAUCCGCAUGGGUAUGGUGUGGAAAGUUUUUCGGUCUGGGAUGGGCUCGCGGCCUAUCAGCUUGUUGGUGAGGUAAUGGCUCACCAAGGCGACGACGGGUAGCCGGCCUGAGAGGGCGACCGGCCACACUGGGACUGAGACACGGCCCAGACUCCUACGGGAGGCAGCAGUGGGGAAUAUUGCACAAUGGGCGAAAGCCUGAUGCAGCGACGCCGCGUGAGGGAUGACGGCCUUCGGGUUGUAAACCUCUUUCAGCAGGGAAGAAGCGAAAGUGACGGUACCUGCAGAAGAAGCACCGGCUAACUACGUGCCAGCAGCCGCGGUAAUACGUAGGGUGCGAGCGUUGUCCGGAAUUAUUGGGCGUAAAGAGCUUGUAGGCGGUUUGUCGCGUCUGCUGUGAAAAUCCGGGGCUCAACCCCGGACUUGCAGUGGGUACGGGCAGACUAGAGUGUGGUAGGGGAGACUGGAAUUCCUGGUGUAGCGGUGAAAUGCGCAGAUAUCAGGAGGAACACCGAUGGCGAAGGCAGGUCUCUGGGCCACUACUGACGCUGAGAAGCGAAAGCAUGGGGAGCGAACAGGAUUAGAUACCCUGGUAGUCCAUGCCGUAAACGUUGGGCGCUAGGUGUGGGACUC